CCGGACCUGACUGCUAUCGGAUUGGUACUAAGCCAUGCGAGUCAUUGUAGCAAUACAAGGCGGACGGCUCAGUAACACGUAGUCAACCUAACUCGUGGACGUGGAUAACCUCGGGAAACUGAGAAUAAACCACGAUAGAUCAUAGUGCCUGGAAUGGCUUAUGGUCCAAACAGUUUACUGCCAUGGGAUGGGACUGCGGCCUAUCAGCUUGUUGGUGAGGUAAUGGCCCACCAAGGCGAUUACAGGUACGGGCUCUGAGAGGAGAAGCCCGGAGAUGGGUACUGAGACACGGACCCAGGCCCUAUGGGGCGCAGCAGGCGAGAAACCUUAGCAAUGUGCGAAAGCACGACUAGGUUAAUCCGAGUGGUUCCUGCUAAAGGAACCUUUUGUCAGUCGUAAAACCACAGACGAAUAAGGGGUGGGCAAGUCUGGUGUCAGCCGCCGCGGUAAUACCAGCACCUCGAGUGGUCAGGAGGUUUAUUGGGCCUAAAGCAUCCGUAGCCGGCUAUGCAAGUCUCCGGUUAAAUCCAACUGCUCAACAGAUGGGCUGCCGGAGAUACUACAUAGCUAGGGAGCGGGAGAGGCAGACGGUAUUCGGUGGGUAGGGGUAAAAUCCACUGAUCCAUCGAGGACCACCAGUGGCGAAGGCGGUCUGCCAGAACGCGUUCGACGGUGAGGGAUGAAAGCUGGGGGAGCAAACCGGAUUAGAUACCCGGGUAGUCCCAGCUGUAAACGAUGCAAACUCGGUGAUGCGUUGGCUUAUGGCCAACGCAGUGCCGCAGGAAAGCCGUUAAGUUUGCCGCCUGGGAAGUACGGACGCAAGUCUGAACUUAAAGGAAUUGGCGGGGGAGCACCACAAGGGGUGAAGCCUGCGGUUCAAUUGGAUUCAACGCCGGG
rnacentral:rRNA from 1 species